AUUGAACGCUGGCGGCAGGCCUAACACAUGCAAGUCGAGCGGAGCGGCGGACGGGUGAGUAAUGCCUAGGAAUCUGCCUGGUCGUGGGGGAUAACGUCCGGAAACGGGCGCUAAUACCGCAUACUAUCAGAUUAGCCUAGGUCGGAUUAGCUAGUUGGGGGGGUAAAGGCCUACCACGGCGACGAUCCGUAACUGGUCUGAGAGGAUGAUCGGUCACACGGGAACGGAGAAACGGGCCAGAGCCAUACGGGAGGCAGCAGUGGGGAAUAUUGGACAAUGGGCGAAGGCCGGAUCCAGCCAUGCCGCGUGUGUGAAGAAGGUCUUCAGAUUGUAAAGCACUUUAAGUUGGGAGGCGUUACCAACAGAAUAAGCACCGGCUAACUGCGUGCCAGCAGCCGCGUAAUUC
rnacentral:rRNA from 1 species